rnacentral:rRNA from 1 species
GGGGGACGAGGGUGACAGGUGGUGCAUGGUUGUCGUCAGCUCGUGUCGUGAGAUGUUGGGUUAAGUCCCGCAACGAGCGCAACCCUCGACCUUAGUUGCCAGCAUUCAGUUGGGCACUCUAAGGUGACUGCCGGCUAAAAGUCGGAGGAAGGUGGGGAUGACGUCAAAUCAUCAUGCCCCUUAUGACCUGGGCUACACACGUGCUACAAUGGGCGGUACAAAGGGUCGCGAACCCGCGAGGGGGAGCCAAUCCCAAAAAGCCGCUCUCAGUUCGGAUUGCAGGCUGCAACUCGCCUGCAUGAAGCCGGAAUCGCUAGUAGUCGCGGAUCAGCAUGCCGCGGUGAAUACGUUCCCGGGCCUU